UAGAGAGCCCUACAGCGUCAGGGCUAACCCUGGGCCACCUCGAGGCCCCGCGGAGUUUUCGUUAACGCGCCGGGCGGUGCAGGGAUGCCCUGCUUGGGAGAGUGCAGGGUGGGAAGCGGGCACGCCCUGUUGGCAGCUGCCAGCGCUUGUGUACGUGGCUGCUGACGUGGAGAACUGUAGCUGUGGAAAGCCUGCGCCCCAGGGAGGGACGCGGGGGUGCAGUCGCGGCCCAUUAUCUGUGCCCGGGAAGUCCUGAAGGCUUCAGGAGCUAUCACAUUAAACCCCCAGACCCACGAGAAAGUCCUUGAAGCUUCGUUGUCUUUUGCUGAUGGAGCCUCUGUGAAGGGCAAAUUCGAAGUACAGCUGGGUGCUGCAGUGCAGGAGUGGGAAUGUGUGGCUGUGGUUAUGAAGGAGCCUAGGCAGCUAUGCCUUUAGCCCCUGGUGAAGCAGUACCGGUCACAUUUUGCCAGUCAAACGGAGAGGCAGCAGUAGUAAGACCAGACCAAAUCAAACCAAACCAAGCAAACCACAGGGGAAUGGAGAUGAAUGCAUCUGAGGCCAGACAGGAAAAUGACUUAUCGCUGGUUGAAUUGCUGGUUAGUGGCUGGAUUGGAGGUAGAACCCAGAUCUUCUGCCUCUUUAUUCUACUCAUGUCCUGUCAUGGAAAUUAGUCAAUCUAAUUGCUGUUAUUAUAGAAGUCCGUUUCACCAGAGAGUUUGUGAAUUGACAACCAUAAAAUCUGUGGUAAAUUCACAGGCUUCAUCAAUGCCAUUGUGAAAUAUUGACCCUCUGCUUCCCAGAUUGCAACUCCCUCAGGCUUGGUCUGUUUGCUGUUAGGAUUUGUUACAACUUCUUGCUUAUUGCCUUUUGUUUCACAAGCAGUGCUGAAUAUGGGCUGGGUAUUGGAAAGAGGAUAAGCAAAUGAGAACCCACAGUUCUGUGACGUGAAAACACUGAUUGGCCAGUCCCCGUUAUCUGCAGGAUGUGCUUUUCUUAAGGAUGAACAUAUUUUGGUUCACAGGUUUCCAAGACAAGCACAUUCCUGCCAACAUGAUCCUUGGACAAACUGUUCUGGAAUUUGAGCUCGCUACUGGAAGAGGGUUAAGUCCAGGACACACACACACAUUUCAGUGGGGGGCAAGCUGUAGUUGGCUAUGUUAGCACCUCAUUAUACAACAGUUUCAAGAUAAAGUGAUUCCAGAUGUGCUCUCAGCAAGUACCUAGUACUUACGAUUUUUACCCAUUAGCCUAAAAUCUACUUUCAGAAUUUUGGGGAAGCCAGAGUUAGUUAAUUAACUAGUUAUUCUUCAUAAAGUUGAUUCUAAGUUGACUAUAAUUUGCAGUAUGUUUCAAGUUAGAGGAUACCCAUUAUAACCAUAUAAAACAUACAUAUUUAUAGACACAUAUAUAUAUAUUAUCACACAGACUUGCCUUUGACAAUGAUUAUAAGUUCAUUUGAAGCACUAGUUUAAUGAUCAUUAGGUUCCUUUGUCCUGGAAAUUUCAUUUAGAAACAUUAGGAAAAUAUAUAUCUAAGAAGUAGUAUUCUAGUUUCUUCUUAUUGAUGAAGCUGCAGUGAUAGUCAUUGUUAGUCUGAAGCAUAAAUUUCAUGAGUAAGUCCUGGUUAAAAGGCUGCCUCCCUUGUUUAAAAAAACAAGAUUUGAAAUUUUUUGCUUUGUAACCUAAAUUUACGAAAAAGAGUUAAAGAGAAAAGAUGAUGUUUUCCCUGAUAAUUCAUAUUAUUGUUAGGAAUAUGGAAUUUUUGCAUCACUUGGCCCUAGAAGGUGGAGAGCUAAAGGUGAACAUUUCAUUUUGCUCUCAAAUAUUUUAAAUUUGUCUGCAGAAAUUAUGAUUUCUGCUGAAUACAAUGGAAGCCUUCUUAGCUGGUCUUACUUGAGUUGAGAAUAUUGCAUCGUAGUAUCCUCUUUUGAUUUUAUUUUGCUCUAAAGUACAUUUUUAAAAAUUUAGGUAUGAUAUCUGGCAUCAAGGACAACACCAUUUAUUUGCCAAAGGGUGUAACCUAGGGCAUUAUACACUAAAUGGGAAUAUUGGCAGACAUACUCUUCAGGGGUACCUGUUUUGCUGUAGGGCAGUACCUACAGCAAAGCAGUCUGGGUAUGAUGGACUCUGGAUCCAGACUGUUUGGUUUCAUUUCUGCUUCUGCUUUUUACUAGCUGUGUGCUUUAAUUUCAGGAAUGUGAAAGAUGAAUAAUAACUCACGAAGAUUUAGUUAAGUCUGAACUUGUAAAGGAAGCACUUGGAACCAUGCCUGCCAUAUGUUAAGUACUAUGCAAGUGUUAGCUUAAACAAACAAACAAAUCUCAAAUUUUGUUUUUGUCAUGUCAGAGAGGCUAACAUCAAGUGAUGGCUGAAGCAGCAAACAACUAAUUAAAUUUAAAAGGAAAAUGAUCUUUGGAAUUAAUCCUUUCUUGUGAAAAGUUUUCUAGAGCUUCCAUCCAGCUGUGGCUAAACCUGGAGGUGAGGAAAGUGUGGCAGAGUGAAUGCCAUUGAUUAAAGAAAGGCCAAGACCUUGCUCUCUAACAAUUGUUUCUAUUAUUUCUAUUUUGAGAGAAAGACCCUUAGUGUUACCCAUCAGCAGGAGAUGGACUGUAGUCUUUGUGUGGAUUGACAAACAUUUGUAGUUUAACAAUGCGAAGGGCUUUCUUUGCAGGAAAUGAAAAAGUUGUGAUUUUCCGUAAGUCAUUUAGAGAGUCACUAUUGAGCCAGUCAGGCUGGGCCCGCUAGUCCAUACAACGGUUCUGUGACAAUUAGUCUUGUGCUGUUGUAGCAUUUCAGACUCAUGGAGCCUUUUUCUUAGAAGACCUCUCAUCCUUCUGGCUGACACAGUCCCAUCCCAGGGUGCAGGGCCUGAAAAGUGGAGUACAGUCUGGAUUUCAGCCCUAACCAUCCCCGCCCCACAGGACACGGUGCAGUACACAAAUGGCACAUUGAAUGUGGUAGCCAUGAAGACAGAUUUUUGAAUUUUACUUUCUGUGCUUCAGCUCAGGAAAUAUGUUUAUUUUAUUGUUCAGUCAUAGUCUACUUGAAUAGCUGGAUCUGGGGAAGAGAUGGUUCAGUAUUUUUUGUCAUUGAAUCCAGUGGUUGAUUGUUAAUUAUUACUUAAGAUUAUCCACAAACAUCCUGCUGACAGUCCAAGACUGUUUUCUAUCAGAGGUUUUAUGAAGCCACUUAAUUUAGGGUUAAGGUCCUGCUGAACCUUAUAGGAGUCUUUAAAAGCAAGGAGAAAGGCAUCAGAAUAUCACACCCUUUUAGCUAUAAAUCAUAUUUCUGUAAUGCUGUUGCUACUUUUUUUCUGCGCGCUCUUGCAAUUUAAGAUGAUGCAUUUUAUUUCCAGUGGUUUGCAAGCUGUAACUGAAAAACAGAAUGCUCGGAAAAGCCUCUGGCUAAAAACCAGUCUAUUGACAUAGAAUAAUGUCAGGAGUGGCCCCAGGAGAUUUGUGGAUUUUGGCCUGUCUUGUUUCUUAUCCAAUAUUUCUUUUCAGUAUUAUCACAGUUAAAUUCCUCAUUGGAUAUGCAAUAGUUUAAAAUCACAUUAAAGUUUGGACUUAAAUCAAGCAUAGCAAAAAGUCUUGAUUCUUUGACAUUAGCUCCCAACAUUCUUCUAUUACGGUUUCAGUGGUCCUGAACUUUGGAAGAUGCUGAUCAGGUAAUAACUCUACUGUCCCCUACAAGGAGAAUGCCACCUGUAAAAAGGCACUGAGAAGUUUUAUUGUCUCAAAUAUAUUUAUUCUGAUUCUUAAGAAAA